rnacentral:tRNA from 1 species
GCCAUGGUGGUACAAUGGUUAAGCAUUUGGCUGCUAACUAAAAGGGCGAUGGUUCAAACCCACCCAGCGGCU